CACCAGCUGAUGUCAGUUGCAUUGUUUUUUUAACCAGGGCAGAAGUUUUCAGAUUACUUUAUGUGCUUACAUAAUUGUAAAAGGGUUCUCUAAUGUUUUUAUAGUUAGCCUUUUAAAAGGAU